UCUAAUCAGCCCCGUGGAUGGAGCCUGCAGACCCAGAAAUGGCCCCCAGCCAGGGGGCUCCCAAGCAGCCUGCAGGACCACCACCAUCCUCCGACCAUCCCAAUCUACAAAGAGAACAGGGGGCAAAGGAGGGGUGAGGCUCACAGGGGAGGUGAGAAAGAACAAUGAGGAGUGUUGAAGAAAGUGGAAAGUGAAAGGAAGGAGUCAGAGAUGCAGCCAGACAUCUGGGGGGUUGUCUGUGGAUGUUUGCCGGGGCCACCUGUGUCCGGUGACACUUGCCUUUGUGUUGGUGAGCCUCUGAGCACCCACGUGAUGCAUGGCAGGCUGCAGCCAGCAGCCCUCAGAUGAAAAUGGCUACAAGCUGACGCUCUGGAGAAGAGAAUCCAAUUCAGUGGCCACACCAACUAAUACAGGGCAUCCACUUUGUUCUUCAAAGAGAAUCAGAAGUGCAAUAGUCAGAACAUGGCGCAUGGGAAGACCCUGAAAAGUCCAGGCCUGUGCCAGCUGCCUCCCCUCGUGGUCCUAAGUGCAACUCCUUAAAGUAUCUGAAGAAAUUGACUCCUGAGGGGCAGAAAUCUAGCAGGGAGGGAUGUGACCACAUGUGUGUGUGCAUGUUUGCACGCAAGCAUGUGCACAGACACACACAUUCUUACAAAUGAAACUGCAAUCACUGGU